AAGGAGCUUGCUCCGUCCACUCCAAGCAUUGACCUGGUAUUGCACUGCCUGCAGGAACGGUGCACGCCUU
rnacentral:snRNA from 1 species